UCUUUUAUCCAUCUACUUCACAAGAUAUCUAGUUUUGUUAUGUUUCCCAGACUUUCAAAAAUUUAUUUUGAUACUGAUGUUUCAAGUUACAUGUGGCGACAGUCUUUCAAAAGAUAUGCCCACCUGAUUAUACCUGUCCCACUGUGGAAAAUGAAUUUUUGUUUCACACACAUUCUCAGAUUACAAAUUCUUGACUCUGUACAUUGAACCCACAGUCAUAACCAGGAAUUAUAAUCCUCCCUAUCAACCACUUACUUGAUGACUUGAGGGAUUGCAGGAUAGAAUUCAUUUCAAUUUCUGGAGACUUCCUUAACAGAGAAAGCCUCCAAAAAACUGAUUCAGCCACUGGACAACAAGUUCCCCAGAAUAGAAGCUUUAACACAGGUCAAGGUAAUGAUAUGAUCACAUGAUUUCUCUCCUUUACUCUGUUAGUAUGGUGAACUGCACUGAUUUUGAUUCUUAGCUCAGACUGCAUUCUUGAAAUAAAUGUAAUUUGGUCAUCACGUGUUAGCUUUUUUAUAUAUUUAUUGAUUCAGCUUGGUUAUCUUGAUUCAGAAGUUAAUAUGGACAACUAAAUAAGCAUGUAUAGCCAGAAACUGUUUAAGCAGUUUUGAUGGAGCUGCCCUACCAAAUAUUCAAACGCUUUUUAAAGCCUCAAUAAUUAAAACAGUGGUCUUGCUACAUGAUGGAGCAUACUGACCUAAACAACAAAAGAGACAAUUAGAAAUAGAUGCAAAUAUGUACCAUUUCUUAAAUGUAAUAAAGAUGAUACCUCAAAAGUAUGUGGAAUA